rnacentral:rRNA from 1 species
UACGGGAGGCAGCAGUGGGGAAUAUUGGAUAAUGGGCGCAAGCCUGAUCCAGCCAUGCCGCGUGUGUGAAGAAGGCCUUCGGGUUGUAAAGCACUUUUGUCCGGAAAGAAAAGCUUAGGGUUAAUAACCUUGAGUCAUGACGGUACCGGAAGAAUAAGCACCGGCUAACUUCGUGCCAGCAGCCGCGGUAAUACGAAGGGUGCAAGCGUUACUCGGAAUUACUGGGCGUAAAGCGUGCGUAGGUGGUUUUGUUAAGUCUGAUGUGAAAGCCCUGGGCUCAACCUGGGAAUGGCAUUGGAAACUGGCUUACUAGAGUGCGGUAGAGGGGUGUGGAAUUCCCGGUGUAGCGGUGAAAUGCGUAGAGAUGUGGAGGAAUACCGGUGGCGAAGGCGGCCCCUGGCAAAGCUGACGCUCAUGUGCGAAAGCGUGGGGAGCGAAACAGGGAUUAGAUACC